rnacentral:rRNA from 1 species
UACGGAGGGUGCGAGCGUUGUCCGGAAUCAUUGGGCGUAAAGGGCGCGUAGGCGGCUUCGCAAGUCGGCCGUGAAAUCUCCCGGCUCAACUGGGAGGGGUCGGGCGAGACUGCGAGGCUCGAGGUGGGCAGAGGGCAGUGGAAUUCCGGGUGUAGUGGUGGAAUGCGUAGAGCUCCGGAGGAGCACCAGUGGCGAAGGCGGCUGCCUGGGCCUGGCCUGACGCUGAGGCGCGAAAGCCAGGGGAGCAAACGGG